AUUGAACGCUGGCGGCAGGCUUAACACAUGCAAGUCGAACGGUAGCAGGAGAAAGCUUGCUUUCUUGCUGACGAGUGGCGGACGGGUGAGUAAUGCUUGGGAAUCUGGCUUAUGGAGGGGGAUAACUACGGGAAACUGUAGCUAAUACCGCGUAAUAUCGAAAGAUUAAAGUGUGGGACCUUCGGGCCACAUGCCAUAAGAUGAGCCCAAGUGGGAUUAGGUAGUUGGUGGGGUAAAGGCCUACCAAGCCUGCGAUCUCUAGCUGGUCUGAGAGGAUGACCAGCCACACUGGAACUGAGACACGGUCCAGACUCCUACGGGAGGCAGCAGUGGGGAAUAUUGCGCAAUGGGGGAAACCCUGACGCAGCCAUGCCGCGUGAAUGAAGAAGGCCUUCGGGUUGUAAAGUUCUUUCGGUAUUGAGGAAGGGAUGUGUGCUAAUAGUACACGUCAUUGACGUUAAAUACAGAAGAAGCACCGGCUAACUCCGUGCCAGCAGCCGCGGUAAUACGGAGGGUGCGAGCGUUAAUCGGAAUAACUGGGCGUAAAGGGCACGCAGGCGGUUAUUUAAGUGAGGUGUGAAAGCCCCGGGCUUAACCUGUGAAUUGCAUUUCAGACUGGGUAACUAGAGUACUUUAGGGAGGGGUAGAAUUCCACGUGUAGCGGUGGAUAUGCGUAGAGAUGUGGAGGAAUACCGAAGGCGAAGGCAGCCCCUUGGUGAAUGUACUGACGCUGAUGUGCGAAAGCGUGGGGAGCAAAACAGG
rnacentral:rRNA from 1 species